GCUUCUGGGUUGCCAAGGGAACUGGCUUGGAUUGUCCAGUUACAUCUUGUCUUCAGAAUAUUCGGUUAAUAUGGACUUAUUGUGAAGUCAACGAGAAGCAGAAAUAUUAGACUGAACAAGAAACUGUCUAUCUGUAACAUGUAGAGGGGCCAUCCGUAGUAUUCUGAUAACUUCCAACUCCAGCAGUAGCAGAAACAUCAGCAUCACAUCCUGGAUGAAGACACUAAUAAGAAGAGGAAAUGGCAAACAAGCAUCACCAAAACUAAAUAAGAACAGCGCUACCAUCACAUCCGUGGAAUAUUCUGGUAAAGAUAGUGUCAGAAAUAAUACAUGCUGUGCAGAGAUGUUACAAUAGAUGGAGUCUCAGGAUCACACAGAUGUUGGUCAGAUCUUGUAUCCAAAA